rnacentral:rRNA from 1 species
AGUGGACGCUGGCGGUAGGCCUAACACAUGCAAGUCGAACGGCAGCACAGGAGAGCUUGCUCUCUGGGUGGCGAGUGGCGGACGGGUGAGGAAUACAUCGGAACCUACUUUUUCGUGGGGGAUAACGUAGGGAAACUUACGCUAAUACCGCAUACGACCUACGGGUGAAAGCAGGGGAUCUUCGGACCUUGCGCGAUUGAAUGAGCCGAUGUCGGAUUAGCUAGUUGGCGGGGUAAAGGCCCACCAAGGCGACGAUCCGUAGCUGGUCUGAACGGAUGAUCGGCGACACUGGAACAGAGACACGGUCCAGACUCGUACGGGAGGCAGCAUAGGGGAAUAUUGGACAAUGGGCACAAGCCUGAUUCAUCCAUACCGCGUGGGUGAAGAAGGCCUUCGGGUUGUAAAGCCCUUUUGUUGGGAAAAAAAUCCAGCUGGCUAAUACCCGGUUGGGAUGACGGUACCCAAAGAAUAAGCACCGGCUAACUUCGUGCCAGCCGCCGCCGUAA